AACGAACGCUGGCGGCAGGCUUAACACAUGCAAGUCGAGCGCCCCGCAAGGGGAGCGGCAGACGGGUGAGUAACGCGUGGGAACAUACCCUUUCCUGCGGAAUAGCUCCGGGAAACUGGAAUUAAUACCGCAUACGCCCUACGGGGGAAAGAUUUAUCGGGGAAGGAUUGGCCCGCGUUGGAUUAGCUAGUUGGUGGGGUAAAGGCCUACCAAGGCGACGAUCCAUAGCUGGUCUGAGAGGAUGAUCAGCCACAUUGGGACUGAGACACGGCCCAAACUCCUACGGGAGGCAGCAGUGGGGAAUAUUGGACAAUGGGCGCAAGCCUGAUCCAGCCAUGCCGCGUGAGUGAUGAAGGCCUUAGGGUUGUAAAGCUCUUUCACCGGAGAAGAUAAUGACGGUAUCCGGAGAAGAAGCCCCGGCUAACUUCGUGCCAGCAGCCGCGGUAA
rnacentral:rRNA from 1 species